rnacentral:rRNA from 1 species
UAUUGAUUGGUGCUUGCAUCAUGAUUUACAUUUGAGUGAGUGGCGAACUGGUGAGUAACACGUGGGAAACCUGCCCAGAAGCGGGGGAUAACACCUGGAAACAGAUGCUAAUACCGCAUAACAACUUGGACCGCAUGGUCCGAGUUUGAAAGAUGGCUUCGGCUAUCACUUUUGGAUGGUCCCGCGGCGUAUUAGCUAGAUGGUGGGGUAACGGCUCACCAUGGCAAUGAUACGUAGCCGACCUGAGAGGGUAAUCGGCCACAUUGGGACUGAGACACGGCCCAAACUCCUACGGGAGGCAGCAGUAGGGAAUCUUCCACAAUGGACGAAAGUCUGAUGGAGCAACGCCGCGUGAGUGAAGAAGGGUUUCGGCUCGUAAAACUCUGUUGUUAAAGAAGAACAUAUCUGAGAGUAACUGUUCAGGUAUUGACGGUAUUUAACCAGAAAGCCACGGCUAACUACGUGCCAGCAGCCGCGGUAAUACGUAGGUGGCAAGCGUUGUCCGGAUUUAUUGGGCGUAAAGCGAGCGCAGGCGGUUUUUUAAGUCUGAUGUGAAAGCCUUCGGCUCAACCGAAGAAGUGCAUCGGAAACUGGGAGACUUGAGUGCAGAAGAGGACAGUGGAACUCCAUGUGUAGCGGUGAAAUGCGUAGAUAUAUGGAAGAACACCAGUGGCGAAGGCGGCUGUCUGGUCUGUAACUGACGCUGAGGCUCGAAAGUAUGGGUAGCAAACAGGAUUAGAUACCCUGGUAGUCCAUACC